AUACGGAGGGGGCUAGCGUUGUUCGGAAUUACUGGGCGUAAAGCGCACGUAGGCGGAUUGGAAAGUUGGGGGUGAAAUCCCGGGGCUCAACCCCGGAACUGCCUUCAAAACUCCCAGUCUUGAGUUCGAGAGAGGUGAGUGGAAUUCCGAGUGUGGAGGUGAAAUUCGUAGAUAUUCGGAGGAACACCAGUGGCGAAGGCGGCUCACUGGCUCGAUACUGACGCUGAGGUGCGAAAGCGUGGGGAGC
rnacentral:rRNA from 1 species